UUCUCUCCCUUGCCCUGCACAGACCAGUGCUGCCCACACCCUGGCCACAGAGGGAUCUCUGCUUUGACCCCAGGGAGAAUGUCAAUGAGCCGCAUGUUCUCCCUCUUCCCACAUAGGAAAGAGCAAACCAUUUUGCGAAGCGGAGAGGUCCUUAUGCAAAUGUUAACUUCUCACUGAAGACUUCCCUGCACACCACUAACCCCAGCCAUGAACAUCACCUCCUACCUUCCAUGCUGUUUUCGCCAUAGCAGAGCUGAGACCAUGUCAGAUCCAAUGUGUAUCUAAUGCAUGCAUCUGGCUCAAGGAUGAACACACGGUCGGUGCUCCUUGGAUUGAAUUAACAAAAUAUGCAUAUGAGGACGUGAAAGCUGUGCUGAAGUAGAGAAAUGAUGGGUUGUCCUGCUGCAGUAAUGAGCAGCAGCGUUUACUUGUGCCAUUUCUUUUUUACUUCUGCAUUAAGUAGCAUCGGUGAGCCAGUUACUCUGAAGCAAUCUGUGUGUGCAGUAAUUGACAGGUGCCCAAUUAACAACUGAUCUGUGGAGUUCUUGGGUGCAGAGAACUAUGGAUCUGACUCAAUCCUGAAGGCCCCAGGUUUUACCAACUUGUGGGCACAGAAGAGACCACAUUAACAUUAAUAUAGGGUGGAUA